UACGUAGGGGCCUAGCGUUGUCCGGAUUUAUUGGGCGUAAAGAGCUCGUAGGCGGUUCGCUAAGUCGGGUGUGAAACCUCCAGGCUCAACCUGGAGACGCCACCUGAUACUGGUGUGACUCGAGUCCGGUAGGGGAGCGUGGAAUUCCUGGUGUAGCGGUGAAAUGCGCAGAUAUCAGGAGGAACACCAGCGGCGAAGGCGGCGCUCUGGGCCGGAACUGACGCUGAGGAGCGAAAGCGUGGGUAGCAAACAGG
rnacentral:rRNA from 1 species